AAUCAACGCUGGCGGCGUGCCUCAGACAUGCAAGUCGAACGAUUAAGACUCCCUUCGGGGAGUGCAUAAAGUGGCGCACGGGUGAGUAACACGUAAGUAAUCUACCUUUGAGUGGGGAAUAACAACCGGAAACGGUUGCUAAUACCGCAUAAUGCAGCGGCACCGCAAGGUGACAGUUGUUAAAGAUCUAUCGCUUAAAGAGGAGCUUGCGGCAAAUUAGCUAGUUGGUAAGGUAAUGGCUUACCAAGGCUACGAUCUGUAACCGGUCUAAGAGGACGGUCGGUCACACUGACACUGAAUAACGGGUCAGACUCCUACGGGAGGCAGCAGUCGGGAAUUUUGGGCAAUGGGCGAAAGCCUGACCCAGCAACGCCGCGUGAAGGAUGAAGUAUUUCGGUAUGUAAACUUCGAAAGAAUGGGAAGAAUAAAUGACGGUACCAUUUAUAAGGUCCGGCUAACUACGUGCCAGCAGCCGCCGUAAGAC
rnacentral:rRNA from 1 species